rnacentral:rRNA from 1 species
GUUUGAUCCUGGCUCAGAUUGAACGCUGGCGGCAUGCUUUACACAUGCAAGUCGAACGGCAGCACGGGGGCAACCCUGGUGGCGAGUGGCGAACGGGUGAGUAAUGCAUCGGAACGUACCCAGUCGUGGGGGAUAACGCAGCGAAAGUUGUGCUAAUACCGCAUACGACCUGAGGGUGAAAGCGGGGGACCGUAAGGCCUCGCGCGAUUGGAGCGGCCGAUGUCUGAUUAGCUAGUUGGUGGGGUAAAGGCCCCACCAAGGCGACGAUCAGUAGCGGGUCUGAGAGGAUGAUCCGCCACACUGGGACUGAGACACGGCCCAGACUCCUACGGGAGGCAGCAGUGGGGAAUUUUGGGACAAUGGGGGCAACCCUGAUCCAGCCAUGCCGCGUGCGGGAAGAAGGCCUCGGUUGUAACCG